GGGGCUCACCAGAAACGCCUACCCUUGACGGCCCUGAAAUUUUGAGGGCAGCCAAAUGAGGACGCAGUAAAAACUGCCAGUGCCAGAAGUCUAAUGUGUGAAACCAGCAUUCUAUAAGGAAUAGAGAGCUGAACACCCUGUUCUUCAAAAUGUGCAACUUUAUAUAGUGGUGUUACUAUUCUUGUUGCCAGCCCCUCAGUGGAAAGUACGCAAUUUUCUGUGACUGACAGUUUUUCCUGUGUCACCUAAAACAGAGAGAGAACAACCACAUGCAAAAUUUAUUGGUGCUCAUUGGUUGAAAGAAUAUUGUCAGGCUACAAAGGCAAGAGCAGCUGGAAAACACACCAGACUUGGGAGAAUCAAGAAUUAUUUUUGGCUGUGGGAAAACUUGUGCUUCCU